GAACGCUUUUUUCAAUCAUCGUAGCUUGCUACACCGAUUGAAAAUUGAGUGGCGAACGGGUGAGUAACACGUGGGUAACCUGCCCAAAAGAGGGGGAUAACACUUGGAAACAGGUGCUAAUACCGCAUAACCAUGAUGACCGCAUGGUCAUUAUGUAAAAGAUGGUUUCGGCUAUCACUUUUGGAUGGACCCGCGGCGUAUUAACUUGUUGGUGGGGUAACGGCCUACCAAGGUAAUGAUACGUAGCCGAACUGAGAGGUUGAUCGGCCACAUUGGGACUGAGACACGGCCCAAACUCCUACGGGAGGCAGCAGUAGGGAAUCUUCCACAAUGGGCGCAAGCCUGAUGGAGCAACGCCGCGUGAGUGAAGAAGGUCUUCGGAUCGUAAAACUCUGUUGUUAGAGAAGAACAUGCAAGAGAGUAACUGUUCUUGUAUUGACGGUAUCUAACCAGAAAGCCACGGCUAACUACGUGCCAGCAGCCGCGGUAAUACGUAGGUGGCAAGCGUUGUCCGGAUUUAUUGGGCGUAAAGGGAACGCAGGCGGUCCUUUAAGUCUGAUGUGAAAGCCUUCGGCUUAACCGAAGAAUUGCAUUGGAAACUGGAGGACUUGAGUGCAGAAGAGGAGAGUGGAACUCCAUGUGUAG
rnacentral:rRNA from 1 species